rnacentral:rRNA from 1 species
CAGCAGCCACGGGAAUACGGAGGGUGCAAGCGUUAAUCGGAAUUACUGGGCGUAAAGCGUGCGUAGGCGGUUCGUUAAGUCUGUUGUGAAAGCCCCGGGCUCAACCUGGGAAUGGCAAUGGAUACUGGCGAGCUAGAGUGUGUCAGAGGAUGGUGGAAUUCCCGGUGUAGCGGUGAAAUGCGUAGAGAUCGGGAGGAACAUCAGUGGCGAAGGCGGCCAUCUGGGACAACACUGACGCUGAGGCACGAAAGCGUGGGGAGUAAACAGGAUUAGAUACCCCCGUAGUCCCUGUCUCUUAUAC